GGACUACUCCCUUCGCUCCGAAUUACUUGUUGCGGGUAUGGAUGUAUCUAGAUGUAUUUUAGUUCUAGAUACAUCCAUUUCUGCGACGAGUAAUUUAGAACGGAGGGAGUACUGA
rfam:Triticum aestivum genome assembly, contig: Triticum_aestivum_CS42_TGACv1_scaffold_309096_4AS